rnacentral:tRNA from 1 species
UGGGGCAGUAGUUCAGUGGUAGAACGCAUCCCUCGCACGGAUGAGGCCGGGGGUUCAAGUCCCCUCUGCUCCACCAA